GAUGAACGCUGGCGGCGUGCCUAAUACAUGCAAGUCGAGCGAACAGACGAGGAGCUUGCUCCUCUGACGUUAGCGGCGGACGGGUGAGUAAAACGUGGAUAACCUACCUAUAAGACUGGGAUAAAUUCGGGAAACCGGAGCUAAUACCGGAUAAUAUAUUGAACCGCAUGGUUCAAUAGUGAAAGACGGUUUUGCUGUCACUUAUAGAUGGAUCCGCGCCGCAUUAGCUAGUUGGUAAGGUAACGGCUUACCAAGGCAACGAUGCGUAGCCGACCUGAGAGGGUGAUCGGCCACACUGGAACUGAGACACGGUCCAGACUCCUACGGGAGGCAGCAGUAGGGAAUCUUCCGCAAUGGGCGAAAGCCUGACGGAGCAACGCCGCGUGAGUGAUGAAGGUCUUCGGAUCGUAAAACUCUGUUAUUAGGGAAGAACAAAUGUGUAAGUAACUAUGCACGUCUUGACGGUACCUAAUCAGAAAGCCACGGCUAACUACGUG
rnacentral:rRNA from 1 species